rnacentral:rRNA from 1 species
UACGUAGGGGGCUAGCGUUGUCCGGAAUCAUUGGGCGUAAAGCGCGUGCAGGCGGCCUUGCAAGUCGGACGUGAAAUCCCACGGCUCAACCGUGGAAGGGCAUUCGAAACUGCGAGGCUGGAGUCCUGGAGAGGAAAGUGGAAUACUCGGUGUAGAGGUGAAAUUCGUAGAUAUCGAGUGGAACACCGGUGGCGAAGGCGGCUUUCUGGACAGGUACUGACGCUGAGACGCGAAAGCGUGGGGAGCAAACAGG